GUGCUCACUUCGGCGGUACAUAGACUAAAACUGGAACAAUACAGAGAAGAUUAGCACGGCCCCUGCGCAAGGAUGACACGCCAAUUCAUGAAGCGUUCCAUAUUUUU
ensembl:snRNA U6 U6 spliceosomal RNA